GAUGAACGCUAGCGGCAGGCUUAAUUACAUGCAAGUCGAGGGGCAGCAUGACUGUAGCAAUACAGUCGAUGGCGACCGGCAAACGGGUGCGGAACACGUACACAACCUUCCUUUAAGUGGGGGAUAGCCCAGGGAACUUGGAUUAACUACCCCGUAAUACUAUGAAGUGGCAUCACUUUAUAUUUAUAGCUCAGGCGCUUAAUGAUGGGGUGUGCGGCUGAUUAGGUAGUUGGCGGGGUAACGGCCCACCAAGCCUGCGAUCAGUAACUGGUGUGAGAGCACGACCAGUCACACGGGCACUGAGACACGGGCCCGACUCCUACGGGAGGCAGCAGUAAGGAAUAUUGGUCAAUGGACGCAAAGUCUGAACCAGCCAUGCCGCGUGGAGGAUGAAGGUCC
rnacentral:rRNA from 1 species